GACGGGGGAUGCAAGCGAUAUCCGGAAUCACUGGGCGUAAAGCGUCUGUAGGUGGUGAUGCAAGUCACUGGUGCAAAACUCUGGCUCAACCGGAGGAAAGCCAGUGAAACUGCAUGACUAGAGUGUGGGAGAGGUAGAAGGAAUUCCCUGAGUAGCGGUGAAAUGCGUAGAUACAGGGAAGAACAUCGGAGGCGAAAGCGUUCUACUGGAACACAACUGACACUGAGAGACGAAAGCUAGGGUAACGAAUGAG
rnacentral:rRNA from 1 species